rnacentral:tRNA from 1 species
GGCCAGGUAGCUCAGUUGGUUAGAGCAUUGUUCUGAUACACCAAGGUUGCAGGUUCAAUCCCCAAUCUGGGCA